rnacentral:rRNA from 1 species
AACGAACGCUGGCGGCAGGCCUAACACAUGCAAGUCGAGCGCCCCCGCAAGGGGGAGCGGCGGACGGGUGAGUAACGCGUGGGAAUUUUCCUCAAGGUACGGACCAACUCAGGGAAACUUGGGCUACUACCGUAUGAUGUCUAGCGACCACAGAUUUAUCGCCUUGGGAUAAGCCCGCGUCAGAUUAGGUAGUUGGCGGGGUAACGGCCUACCAAGCCUCGGAUCGGUAGCUGGUCUGAGAGGACGAGCAGCCACAUUGGGACUGAGACACGGCCCAAACUCCUACGGGAGGCAGCAGUGGGGAAUCUUGCGCAAUGGGCGAAAGCCUGACGCAGCCAUGCCGCGUGAAUGAUGAAGGUCUUAGGAUUGUAAAGUUCUUUCGCCCGUGACGAUGAUGACGGUAACGGGAGAAGAAGCCCCGGCUAACUUCGUGCCAGCAGCCGCGGUAAAAC